CAGGCUGGAAGAAUCAUGAGCGUCCCUCUGGCCUCCAAAUUAAUUCUGGACCUUCAUUAUAAAACUGAAAUAUCUUUCUUUAGCUUUUCCAAUUCUCCGAUGUCAGUCUGUGACAAAUCCCAGACCAUCCCCACUGUGCACAAUGAACACAGAAUCAUCUACAGGCUGCCCCAUAUGGUCCCAUAAACAAUCCUAACUCAGUAGAGGAAAUAGGGAAUGCUUUCUCUUCACUAGUAAAGGGGGUUUGAAAUCACACUUCUGCUGCUAUCAACUCAACUUCAAGUAUUGUUGAUGAAGGAGGAUAUGCAGUUUCUUCUGAACCAAACCAAAUUCUCUCUAAGCAUUUUCCAUGUGGAAGUGUAUAGUCUCCAUGGCUAAUCACUUCUUCCUGGUCUUCUGGGCCUGAGGAAGACCAAGCCAAUACUUACAACCACUCAAUCCUGCCUGACUCUCUUGGCCCAUUUCAAAAGCCCCAUUUCCUAAAGACAGUGAUUAACUAUUCCUAUUUCCAUUCCAUUGGUACUUGUUCCAUGACUGACUCUAAAGCUUCUGCUCUGUGUAGCCUGAUCUACAACCAGAUCUUGAAUUUGGACCUAGUUCUGAUGCUGAUGCCAGCCUGAAACUGCAUCCUGAAUAUGGCUGUUUUGGACUCUUGAACCUCCCCAAGAAAAGGGAUUCUAUCUCCUAUCCUAGUAUUUGACUUGCUCUUGGUGCUUUCCCCCAGAUCUCUAGUAGGGUGUUUAAUUCCCACAAUGUCUUGUACCAGAGCCUUACCUAAGUUUUUCUCAAUCCUCUUCUGAGACCACAUUUGCUUCCACUUUUACAACUUUUUCUUGCAUGUGCUUGUCUCCAUGCAAAACAGGUGCCAUUGAGCUAUGGAAAAAAAUGUUUUGUGAAAAAUUUCGUUUUUGUUUCAGAAAUGUUCCCUUUCCUAUAUCAAAGAAAAGAACUCCAAGCUGGUUUA
rnacentral:lncRNA from 1 species